rnacentral:lncRNA from 1 species
GGGGAGACAUGAUAAACACUUGAGAAAAGGUUACAUGAGAUGAAUUAUCAUUUGUGUAUAUCCCCGAAUAUCAUGAUAUGAACCUGAAGUUCAUAAAAAGGAUAAUUCAAUUGCAAACAUAUUGCAAAGCAUGCUAUACGCAUUUACUGACCCAAAGAAAGUGACUAAAUGGAAGAGAUUCAAUUCAAGAAGAAUUGAUUCCAUAUGAAAGACAUGUAGUUUUGAANN